rnacentral:rRNA from 1 species
CGCGGCCUAUCAGCUUGUUGGUGAGGUAACGGCUCACCAAGGCGAUUACGGGUAGCUGGUCUGAGAGGACGAUCAGCCACACUGGAACUGAGAUACGGUCCAGACUCCUACGGGAGGCAGCAGGAGGGAAUCUUGCGCAAUGGGCGAAAGCCUGACGCAGCGACGCCGCGUGGGGGAUGAAUGCCUUAGGGUUGUAAACCCCUUCCACGAGGGAAGAAACUGACGGUACCUCGAGAAGAAGCCCCGGCCAACUACGUGCCAGCAGCCGCGGUAAUACGUAGGGGGCGAGCGUUGUCCGGAUUUAUUGGGCGUAAAGGGCUCGUAGGCGGCUUGGCAAGUCGGCCGUGAAAACCCAGGGCUCAACUCUGGGACGCCGGUCGAUACUGCCAUGGCUAGGGUCCGGUAGAGGGGAAUGGAAUUCCCGGUGUAGCGGUGAAAUGCGCAGAUAUCGGGAGGAACACCAGUAGCGAAGGCGGUUCCCUGGGCCGGCACCGACGCUGAGGAGCGAAAGCGUGGGGAGCAAACAGGAUUAGAUACCCUGGUAGUCCACGCCGUAAACGUUGGGUACUAGGCGUGGCGUCUUAUCAACGGAUGCCGUGCUCGAAGCUAACGCGUUAAGUACCCCGCCUGGGGAGUACGG